rnacentral:rRNA from 1 species
UGAGUUUGAUCCUCGCUCAGAAGGAACGCUAGCUAUAUGCGUAACACAUGCAAGUCUCAUGUUGUUUUCGGGGAGCUAGGUAGAAGGAAAAGAGGCUCCUAGCUAAAGGUAGCUUGUCUCGCCUUUCAAAAGGGGUGGGAACAGUUGAGAACAAAGUGGCGAACGGGUGCAUAACACGUGGGAAUUUGCCGAACAGUUUGGGCCAAAUCCUGAAUCAAGCUAAAAAGCGCUGUUUGAUGAGCCUGUGUAGUAUUAGGUCGUUGGUCAGGUAAAGGCUGACCAAGCCAAUGAUGCUUAGCUGGUCUUUUCUGAUGAUCAGCCACACUAGGACUGAGACACGGCCCGAACUCCCACGGGGGGCUGCAGUGGGGAAUCUUGGACAAUGGGCGAAAGCCCGAUCCAGCAAUAUCACGUGAGUGAAGAACUCGAGGAAGAAGCCCCGGCUAACUCCGUGCCAGCAGCCGCGGUAAGACGGGGGGGGGGGGGGGNNNNNNNNNNGGGGGGGGGGGGGGCAAGUGUUCUUCGGAAUGACUGGGCGUAAAGGGCAUGUAGGCGGUUCAUCGGGUUGAAAGUGAAAGUCUCCAAAAACUGGUGGAAUGCUCUCGAAACCCAUUCACUUGAGUGAGACAGAGGAGAGUGGAAUUUCGUGUGUAGGGGUGAAAUCCGGAGAUAUACUAAGGAACGCCAAAAGCGAAGGCAGCUCUCUGGGUCCCUACCGACGCUGGGGUGCAAAAGCAUGGGGAGCGAAUGGGAUUAGAUACCCUGGUAGUCCAUGCCAUAAACGAUGAGUGUUAGCCCUUCGUCUACGCGGAUCAGGGGCCCAGCUAACGCUUGAAACACUCCGCCUGGGGAGUACGCUCACAAGACCGAAACUCAAAGGAAUUGAUGGGGGCCUGCACAAGCGGUGGAGCAUGUGGUUUAAUUCGAUACAACGCGCAAAACCUUACUAGCCCUUGACAUAUGAACAAAAAAACCUGUCCUUAAUGGGAUGGUCAUUUCAUACAGGUGCUGCAUGGCUGUUGUCAGCUCGUGUCGUGAGAUGUUUGGUCAAGUCCUAUAACGAGCGAAACCCUCGUUUUGUGUUGCUAAGACAUGUGCCUAAGGAUCAAGUCUUUGCAACCGAAGUUCGCCGAGGAACCGAGUGACGUGCCAGCGCGACUAAUUGAGUGUCAGCACGUAGCAGUGCUGUCAGUAAUCUGGGAGACUGAUCCUUUCAAACGAAGCACUUUCGAGUGUGCGCUUUUGAUUGCUGCUAGCGCGCUUUACUAAAAAGACUCAGCAUUCAGGCGAGCCACCCGGUGGUGUGGUACGAAGUGGGUUUAGUACGCCCUGCCAAAACAGCUCCAAAACAAACAAAAAAAAAGGUGCAUGCUGCACUCACGAGGGACUGCCAAUGAUAUACUAGAGGAAGGUGGGGAUGACGUCAAGUCCGCAUGGCCCUUAUGGGCUGGGCCACACACGUGCUACAAUGGCAAUGACAAUGGGAAGCAAGGCUGUAAGGCGGAGUGAAUCCGAAAAGAUUGCCUCAGUUUGGAUUGUUCUCUGCAACUCGGGAACAUGAAGUUGGAAUCGCUACUAAUCGCGGAUCAGCAUGCCACGGUGAAUAUGUACCUGGGCCCUGUACACACCGCCCGUCACACCCUGGGAAUGGGUUUCGCCCGAAGCAUCGGACCAAUUCUCACCCAUGACUUCCGUGUCACACUAGUGCCACAAAGGCUUUUGGUGGUCUUAUUGCCGCAUACCACGGUGGGGUCUUCGACUGGGGUGAAGUCGUAACAAGGUAGCCAUAGGAGAACCUGUGGCUG